rnacentral:rRNA from 1 species
CCUACGGGGGGCAGCAGUGAGGAAUAUUGGUCAAUGGACGAGAGUCUGAACCAGCCAAGUAGCGUGAAGGAUGACUGCCCUAUGGGUUGUAAACUUCUUUUAUAUGGGAAUAAAACGUUCCACGUGUGGGAUUUUGUAUGUACCAUAUGAAUAAGGAUCGGCUAACUCCGUGCCAGCAGCCGCGGUAAUACGGAGGGUCCGAGUGUUAUCCGGAUUUAUUGGGUUUAAAGGGAGCGUAGGUGGAUUGUUAAGUCAGUUGUGAAAGUUUGCGGCUCAACCGUAAAAUUGCAGUUGAGACUGGCAGUCUUGAGUACAGUAGAGGUGGGCGGAAUUCGUGGUGUAGCGGUGAAAUGCUUAGAUAUCACGAAGAACUCCGAUUGCGAAGGCAGUUCACUGGACUGCAACUGACACUGAGGCUCGAAAGUGUGGGUAUCAAACAGGAUUAGAUACCCCAGUAGUC